CGGCUCUGGGAACUAUAGCACAGUAUCAAACCCAGGACCUGACGUUGCUCCUGGAACAUGAACAGAUUCCACUCUGUGGCAGCUUUACCACUAUUGUUUUUGCACUUUGUGUAAAACAUAGGAGCUCUCUAAAGGUAAUACAGCCCUAUUUAAGAGAGAGACCCAAAAAACUCCUUGACAAAAGCAAUG
rnacentral:lncRNA from 1 species